rnacentral:lncRNA from 1 species
UGACCCAGCCAAUCACAGAGUCUUAGAAACCAACAAGGAGCUGGCAGAGGAGAAGCCCAGGCCAAAUCCACAGCAUCCUGUUUAAGCCUCUCGCAUCCAUCACUGUUAUUUGCUGGUGACUAAGGGCCUGCUGCGUGCUGGGCUGUCCAUGAGGUGGGCUGAGAGGCAGACUCAGUGACCAAGCUGCAAGGCACGGGAGUGGGGUGAAUCCCUAUCUUGCUGUGUGAUCCAUAACAAGUCACUUUCCCAAAGCGGGCCUGACUGCAUAUGGUGGGCAGAAUAAGGUCCCCUCAAUGAUGUCCAUGUCCUGGGCCCUGGAAGCUUGAUUAUGAAAAGGGAAGCAUGACUCAGAAGGCAGAGCCAUGAGAACAGAGGCAAAAUGGACUUUGCAGAUAUGAUUAAAGUUAAGGACUUUGAGAUGGGGAGAGUAUCCUGCAUUACCCAGGUGAGCCCAGUCUGAUCACACGAGUCUUUAAAAGUGAAGAGGAAGGCAGGAGAGUGGAUCACAGAGAUGCAACAUGAGAAGGACUCGACUCGCCACUGCUUGCUUUGUAGAUGGAGGAAGGGGACUAUGAGCCAAGGAAUGAGGGGCCUGCAGAAGCAGGGAAUGACUCUCAGCUUAUAGCCAGCAAGAAAACCAUGACCCAGGUCCUACAACCACAGGAACUGAAUUCUGCCAACAACUCAAAUAAGCAGGGAGCGAUUCCCCCUUAAAGAUCCAGAAAGACACACAGCCUAAUGAUGCCUUGAUUCUAUGCUAGCAAGACCAUACCAGACUUCUGACCUACAGAACUGUAACAGAAUGAGUUUGAGUUCUUUAAGCCACUAAACCGGCGGCAAUUUGUUACAGCAUUAGAAAAUGAAAUCACUGUGUGAUCCUGAGUAAGCCCCUCUUUCAAACUGGACCUCAGUUUCCUGUCAGUCCAGUUGUUAAGGAGGGUCUCUAAGAGUCUCUAAGGGUCCAGCCAGCUCUCAAAGACUGACGCUGCUCUCCUGACGUCCUGUCUCCCCCAGAGCCCCACCCCAGCUCCAGGACAGUCUUGGGUUGAAGACUAUUAAAGAAAAAAUAGAAAGGAGUGAGGGGAAGAGAAGAUUAAUCUUUAGAAAGCCCCAAGGUGUUUCUAAGAGGCCACCCAGGGCCACUCCUAGAUGUAUGCCAUUCUCUCUUAAGGUUCAUCUUCCAUUUCUCUAGUGAGUUGGGAGGGUAUUAGGGUCCCUAGUAACUCACUAGUCCAGUGGCUGUCAAAUUCUCAUUUAACUUCCCCCAGGUCACCCUGCUAGUAAGUGAUAAAGGCAAGAUCUGAACCCAGAUCCCCUUAAUUCCAAUGGGCCCUGGAGCCAGACUGCCUGGGUUCAAAUAGCAGUUCUGCCACUUACUUCCUGUGUGUUCAUGGAUGAGUUACUUACUCUCUCUGGACCUCAGUGUCCUCAUAUAUAAGAUGGAUGUAAUGAAGGCCCCUACCUCAUAGGAUUCUGGUAAAGACUAAAUGAGUUAAUACACGUAAAAUGCUUAGAAUAAUGCCUGGCUCAUAGUCUGCACUUGGUAAAUGUCAAGUAUGAUUAUUAUUACAUUAUUCAGCUCACCUGGUACUCAGGUGGGGCAAUACCAACACUUACUCCUUUAAACUAUGAGUGUUGAGUACAUGUGUCUAUCUUUUAUACAACUGCCAAUGGUGGCAGUGUAAGACCAGCCAAGACAAAGAUCCUCUUUCCUUGGAGACAUUUCCUUUGUUUGUAUAUUUUAAUCUAUGGAGAAGAAACAGAAGCAUGUUUUUUAAAGACAGAUCAGAAUAUGGCUGGGAAAGCAUCUGAGGCUGUGUCCGCUUCUUUAUUCCCUUCGUCUGUCACCCCUGGGCCCAGUAUGUGACCCAACCACAUUAGGCACCCAAGUCUCUAAUUUGUUUUUUCUCUCCGACGUCUCACCACAGCUUAGUGACUCUCGGGCUGCCCCAGAGAGGGGAAAUCCCCAGACGUUUUAUGUAAUGGAGCCCACUGCGCUGACGCCCUGAGAGGUCAGUGUUUGGAGGAUGUGAUGGAGCGCGACCUGCAGCCUCCAAGGCAUGAUUCAUAAUCAGAACAGCUGGAAACAAGAGGUCCCUGCUGGAGUGGAAAAGCGUUGCUUCUUGGCCUUUUGGUGGUUACUAGAGAAGUACGUGACGUCCUGAAGCUCAGCUGGGCUCUCCCAUACGUUCUCAGAGGAUUGCUCAGAGGACUGCCGAGUGGCCUGCAUAACCCCAAGAGCACAUCACACUCAGCCACAGACACCCAUCUGAUCUACCCUCAGUUCCUCGUUUUGUAGAUCGGGAAGGCGAGGUCCAGACAGCCGAAACACCUCAUCAAGACAGAUCGCGCUGAGUCUGCGGAAAGUUCCUGGGGCGGAGACGGCUCGAGCGCUUCUCCACGUCCCAGGGACGGCACGGCCUCUGGCAGCGGGAAGCAACCCCCAGCUCUGCAGUCUCCGUCCGGAACGUGCCCGGGUUCCUCGGAGCCCCGGGGAGGCGGGAGCGCGCAGGAGAGGCCAGCACGCGCGCGCUCCCCUCCAAGGGCUCUGGGACAAGCGGCCGCCAGGGACCGCCCCAAAAGCCCCGGCCCCCGGCCGCCGCCGCAAUUCUGCUCAGCUCCUCCUCCAGCCUCCCCCGCACCCUGCGGGUGAGCAAGAGGCCAGCAAGGGAAGGGAGAAACUGGGGCGUCUCAGGUUCCCCUCGCAGCCUGUCACGCGCUCGCCGCCUACCCCUGGGCAGAUCGCUUCGCCUGUCGGGGGUCUUCGCACCGAGAAGGUUGACCUAAAAUGUGUCCUCCAAGAUCCUUUCCAGCUGUAGUCUACACAUGGGAAAGUCUAGCCAUUGGGUUUGGAUGGAGGAGCCGGCACUCAGGGUACCUGCUUUGCAGUGUACUGAGUGUGGACUCCUUAACAAGAGGCUUCCCCAUCCUGCCUCUGUUUCGUUCUCUUUAAAGUGGGGGUAAUAACGCUUAAACGG